UGAGGAAUAUUGCACAAUGGGGGAAACCCUGAUGCAGCAACGCCGCGUGGAGGAUGACGCAUUUCGGUGUGUAAACUCCUUUUAUGAGUCAAGAAAAUGACGGUAGCUCAUGAAUAAGCACCGGCUAACUCCGUGCCAGCAGCCGCGGUAAUACGGAGGGUGCAAGCGUUACUCGGAAUCACUGGGCGUAAAGGACACGUAGGCGGGUUGGAAAGUCAGAUGUGAAAUCCUACAGCUUAACUGUAGAACUGCAUUUGAAACUUCCAACCUAGAGUAUGGGAGGGGGAGAUGGAAUUAGUGGUGUAGGGGUAAAAUCCGUAGAUAUCACUAGGAAUACCUAAAGCGAAGGCGAUCUCCUGGAACAUUACUGACGCUAAGGUGUGAAAGCGUGGGGAGCAAACG
rnacentral:rRNA from 1 species